rnacentral:rRNA from 1 species
UACGGAGGGUGCAAGCGUUAUCCGGAUUCACUGGGUUUAAAGGGUGCGUAGGUGGGUUGGUAAGUCAGUGGUGAAAUCUCCGAGCUUAACUUGGAAACUGCCGUUGAUACUAUCAAUCUUGAAUAUCGCGUAGGUAAGCGGAAUAUGUCACGUAGCGGUGAAAUGCUUAGAUAUGACAUAGAACACCAAUUGCGAAGGCAGCUUACUUCACGAUCAUUGACACUGAGGCACGAAAGCGUGGGGAGCAAACAGG